rnacentral:rRNA from 1 species
UACAGAGGUCCCAAGCGUUGUUCGGAUUCAUUGGGCGUAAAGGGCGCGUAGGCGGUUCGUUAAGUCCUGUGUGAAAUCCCCCGGCUCAACUGGGGAACUGCACAGGAAACUAGCGGGCUUGAGUUCGGGAGAGGGAAGCGGAAUUCCGGGUGUAGCGGUGAAAUGCGUAGAUAUCCGGAGGAACACCGGUGGCGAAGGCGGCUUCCUGGACCGACACUGACGCUGAGGCGCGAAAGCUAGGGGAGCAAACGGG